CUCGCUCAGAUUGAACGCUGGCGGCAUGCCUUACACAUGCAAGUCGAACGGCAGCACGGGGGCAACCCUGGUGGCGAGUGGCGAACGGGUGAGUAAUACAUCGGAACGUGUCCUGUAGUGGGGGAUAGCCCGGCGAAAGCCGGAUUAAUACCGCAUACGCUCUACGGAGGAAAGGGGGGGAUCUUAGGACCUCCCGCUACAGGGGCGGCCGAUGGCAGAUUAGCUAGUUGGUGGGGUAAAGGCCUACCAAGGCGACGAUCUGUAGCUGGUCUGAGAGGACGACCAGCCACACUGGGACUGAGACACGGCCCAGACUCCUACGGGAGGCAGCAGUGGGGAAUUUUGGACAAUGGGGGAAACCCUGAUCCAGCAAUGCCGCGUGUGUGAAGAAGGCCUUCGGGUUGUAAAGCACUUUUGUCCGGAAAGAAAACCUCUGGGUUAAUACCCCGGGGGGAUGACGGUACCGGAAGAAUAAGCACCGGCUAACUACGUGCCAGCAGCCGCGGUAAUACGUAGGGUGCAAGCGUUAAUCGGAAUUACUGGGCGUAAAGCGUGCGCAGGCGGUCCGCUAAGACAGAUGUGAAAUCCCCGGGCUUAACCUGGGAACUGCAUUUGUGACUGGCGGGCUAGAGUAUGGCAGAGGGGGGUAGAAUUCCACGUGUAGCAGUGAAAUGCGUAGAGAUGUGGAGGAAUACCGAUGGCGAAGGCAGCCCCCUGGGCCAAUACUGACGCUCAUGCACGAAAGCGUGGGGAGCAAACAGGAUUAGAUACCCUGGUAGUCCACGCCCUAAACGAUGUCAACUAGUUGUCGGGUCUUCAUUGACUUGGUAACGUAGCUAACGCGUGAAGUGACCGCCU
rnacentral:rRNA from 1 species